rnacentral:tRNA from 4 species
GCCCAUAUAGCUCAGUCGGUAGAGCACUUCCUUGGUAAGGAAGAGGUCACCGGUUCGAUUCCGGUUAUGGGCUCCA